UCAUUUGAUUUAUUUUCUGAUUACAGAGAUCAAAUGGUAUUGCCGAAAGACUUGGUUAGAUGUAUGAGAUUUUCAUUCAAUUGAGCACUCACUUACGAUUGAUCUCAUAGGGGAAUCGCAGAAACAGCUUAUAAUUAGCAACAAUAGCACCAACAAGUUCAACUCACGUUUAGCAAGGAUGUGUAUGAUCCUUCAUUACAGUGGCCUCCUACCCAAAAUCAGGCUUGACCAGUUACAAGAUUGAAAGAAAUUCAAGAGAGCUAUCGAUGUGUUUCCACCCAAAAAAGGCGUCAGCAAAAGAAAAGAUGGUAUGGGUAAGAAAGAGAAUAGUAGUGGUGAUACGGAGGAGCUGGCAGUAAUGGUUGUGAACAUCAGAAGGUGACUACUAGUAUAUACAUCCCAAAGAUGGCAAGAUGAAAAAAGAAGUGGUGGAUUUGCAGCAAAGGCAAUCUGAGAAUGCAAGUGAUUUUUUUACCAAUUGUAUUUUCGAAUGUCUGCGUCACUGAUGUUCUUCAACUGGAGGUUAAGAGAAUGGUGGAAGCCAACGGAAUGCGAGUGUAGAAGGUUUCAUCUUAUUCUCAGUGCAUAAUAGAGAGUGUGUGUCAUGGACCUUUCCUUUGGAAUUCUUACGCCAGAAUUAUGAAGAAUUAUGAAGGAUUAUGUUGGCUGAAAGUAUGGAUUUGCUUAAACUACGUUACUUCCAUCCAGGUUUGGAAGAGUCGUUGAGUAACGCAACAUUCCCUACUGGUAAGAUGUAUCAGGCUUUAAUGCUCGAUCAACAGUUGCAGGAAGUGGACGGAAUUGGUGGUUAUAGUAAAUGGGUCUGGAAUCGAUGGUUACCUCUUUAAGUCCUUUCUAAUUUUGUACUACUGUUAUGACUCUCUCUAAAUGGUUCAGCAGUACUUAGGUAUACCUGUUCAACUCGAAAACACGUGCAGCGCACGUGCCCUUUACUAGUACACAUUACUGCCCCAAUUUUGGCUAUCUGGAAUAAAAAGCUGGAACAAAAAUUUCAUGUACUCAAAACCGGUAUAAUUUGAUUAGUUGGAAGAGAAUAUACCAGGUAUAUAUUAACCUUCGUUUGCUGGAGGUCGUGGUAGACGGAAACAAGGUGGGAAUUUAGACAUAAUUUCUAGCAACUGUUAACUGCAUCAUUUGUUCGCAAUCGCUUUGUUUUUUCUGGUCACUCACUCUUACUUCUAAAUUACUGGAUGUAUAUGUUUUGUGCAAGUGUGUCUUUUUUUUAUUGAUGAGUGUUGUGUGGUAUGCAUUGGUUGGUUAUCAUGCGAGGAGUGUUUUUCCCAACAGCUCUUUGGUAAGUCGAGUAGGGGCGGUAAUUCAUCUGUUUUGAUAUUAUUUGAUUAUGUUUAUUAAUAUAAUAGGGUGGUAACUCAUCCGUUUCGAUAUUACUUAGUAGGGCGGUAAUUUAUCCAUUUCGAUAUAUAUACUAUUAUAUUUGGGAGAUCCAGUCGUAUGCAUACCUCACUUGAUUGUUAUUUUGUGUGUUCGAUAAUACCAGAAUCAUGGCUUGGGUGGCUCUUCAUAAGGAUGAAUUGUGUUCUUUGUUUAUUUUUGUUUCAUCAUGUUCUCCUUGUUUCUCUCUUUUUUGUUCUAUUUUUCUCUUCUUGUUAUAUUGUGUUCUUCUUGUUUUAUAGAACACCUGUGAUUUUCCAUUUUCGAUAUAUAAACUCCCACUAGUCUGUACUCAUUAGUUACUUUUAGUGUCGGGUGAAAGUACUGCAGGUGAAGGAAAGGAAGCAGAAUACUAUGUAUGGAUUGACUGAGGACAUCCUAGUAGUUAGCUGGUGUUCAUUUUAAAUUUCCGUUUCUUGUAGCAUCCGUUUUGAGGUGAACGUUUACUCUUGCUGAUGCGUCAUCUUUGUAUCAUUUACAGACUCCAGCAACAACAACGUUCUGAAGAAUAACUCUAAUGGUGCCGUAACUGGUUCGUUACUUCAUUUAGGAAGCAACUCCGGAUGCACAACAUAGAGUUCUUGAGUGUCUCUGGAUCCACACCCUUGAUAGAGAUGAAACAAUUAUAUAGUUGGCACGAUAUAUCCAGAAGGAGCUGAAAGCUUGCCGUCCAUUCCAUGAAGACUUCAAGACAAGUAGUGGGGAGUGAAUCUAAGAAUUCUCAAGUAUUUUGGAGGUGCAGUGUGGUGAUGAUACGAUAACAAGUGAGAGCAAGGAAGAUUUGCAAUGUUUAAUUUAGAAAUCAUGAAAGUAAUCUAAAACAUAGAAAUCUGUAUAGUUGAACUUAUACAGUGUUUAAUUUGGAUCUGAUGGAAGCUUGCCAAAAUAUAGGUAUCUAGAAUAAUUGAAUUGUUCAUGCUUUGAAUGUUGUAUGAUUUUAGUAAGACUAGUUUUUUCAUUCUUGUAUAUGUAAAGUUUUGUUUAUAU